GGGUGGCAUAUGACAGCACAGGUCUCACUAAACCCUUUUCAUUAUCGCUCUCUGUCUCUCUCGGUGCAUUUCUUCUCUCUGAGCUCUUGUUCUGUUCUCUUCAGUCAUCAGGGAGAUAUUACAGGAUUUUCAGUAACACACAGAGCUGAUGUGGAUGUUUCUGCUCCUCAUCGAUUCACUUUUUACACUCAUCAGAAGAAAUGUUGGCGAAUAUAAAAUCAUUGCACUUGACUUCUAGAGGAGAUUGUGGAGGGACGGUGAUAUGUGACAGAUCACAUGUGAGAAGAGAUAAAGGCAUUAAAUGAGAGAUGGGCAGCAGAGAGAAAGACUCAAAGUCUAAAGAAUCACUGAAGAUUAUUCGCAGAGACAGCAUGGAGCAAAAACCAAACAUGUUUCUGGAUAUAGACAGACUUGUAGAGUUUCAUUCAGAAUCAGAAACGGUCAGAGAUGAGGUGAGAUUCACAGAUCGUCUACAGAGAAGGAGAUACAAGUGAUGUGUGGAACUGAAAUAAGAAUUAAAUGUGUUUUUGGCUUUUUUUAGCAUCGGAAACAACCUAGCAACCACAUAGCAACACCUAAGUAACCACUCAGAACACACUAGCAAUUGCAUAACAACACCCUAGAAAUAGCCCAGAAUACCUUAGAAACCACCUAGCAUCCACCCAGAACACCCUAGCAACACCCUAGCAACCACAUAGCAACACCCCAGCGUUAAAACCUUCAGAAGAACUUCCCCCAAAUCCUAGCAACCAUUCAGAACACCGUAGCAACCACAUACCAGCACCGGAGUAACCAACUAUAAUAACUGCAGGGCACCAGCCACAAUACCCUAGCAACCACACAGCAACACCUAAGCAACUUCCCUGAACACUGAAUAGCAACACCAUAGAAACGGCCCAAAAUACCUUAGCAACCACCUAGAAACCAUCCAGAAUACCCCAGCAACAACAAAGUAGAACCCUAGCAUUAAAACCUUCAGAAGAACUUCACCCAAAACAUAGCAACCGCCUAACAACCAUUCAAAAUACCCUAGCAACCACAUAACAACACCCUAGUAACCACCUAUAAUACCUAAGCACCUGCGUGGCACUAGCCACACCACCCUAGCAACCACACAGCAACACCUAAGCAACCACCCAGAACACUGCAUAGCAACACCCUAGAAAGGGUCAAAAAUACCUUAGCAACCACCUAGAACCCAUCCAGAAUACCCCAGCAACCACAAAGUAGCACCCUAGCAUUAAAACCUUAAGACUAACUUCACCCAAAACAUAGCAACCGCCUAACAACCAUUCAAAAUACCCUAGCAACCACAUAACAACACCCUAGUAACCGCCUAUAAUACCUUAGCAACUGCAUGGCACCUGCCACAAGACCCUAGCAACCACAUAGCAACACUUAAGAAACCAACCAGAACACACUAGCAACUGCAUAGCGACACCCUAGAAACAGUUUAAAGUACCUUAGCAACAACCAAAUAAACUAUUAAAAAAAAACCUGAUCCAAACUCUCUGGCUAGGCUUUCUCAGUCAACAUAAAGUUUGUUUUGACAAAUCUAGUUGUAUUGUAUUAUAAUUGCUCUCUUUUUUGUCUUUAGGUCACUUCAGUACAUCUUCAGUACAUUCAGUUCAUCUUCAUCUUCAUCUUCAUCUGUCAUUCAGCAGUCAGUAAUGGAUCAGUAUGUCUCCCUCUGCUGGACACUUGCGUGUAGCACAAGAGGAGGAUUAAAGGGACAGUUAACCAAAAAAAAAAAAAAAAAGGAAAAUUCUGUCAUCAUUUACUCACCCUCAAGUUGCUCCAAACCUGAUAUUUUGAAGAACGCUGGUAAGAGAACAGUUUCUGGUACCCACUGACCUCCAUAAUAUGGAAAAAAAAAAAUACUAUGGCAGUCAAAGGCUACCAGCAAAUGUUUGGUUGCCAACAUUCUUCAGAAUACCUGCUUUUGUGUUCAACAGAAGACAGAAACUCAUACAGGUUUGGAAUAACGUGAGGGUGAGUAAAUGAUGAGAGAAUUGUUAUUUUCGGAGAACUGUCCCUGUAAGUCUUGUGUGUCGGUUCUGAGGGAAUGACAUCAUACAGUACAUGCGUGUAACACUGUAGAUGGUGUUAAACUCUCUGGAUUAUCUGUGCUGUUCUGAAGCUUUUCUGUCAUGGUGUUUGAUCUGAAAGUGGAGCUCAGAACACACUCCACCAGCAUUUCGCACCUUGUUUGAUUUUCUCCUGAUGUUACUUGUUUCAGAGCCUAGAGAAACUAAAGAUAUUUCUGACUGUUCACUGUAACAGCGCAACAGUUGAAUGCUGCUUUACUCCUUUUUUGUUUAUUUUUAGAUUUGUUUAUAACUUGUACAUAGUUAUUAUAAAAUAAAAACCUCUGUGAGGUGCAUUACAUCUAAUGGUGUGUGGAUUUAAUCACAUUUGAACAAUGAAUAAAAACAGUGCUGCAGGUACAAAAUA
ensembl:lncRNA